rnacentral:rRNA from 1 species
AUUGACAGAUUGAUAGCUCUUUCUUGAUUCCAUGGGUGGUGGUGCAUGGCCGUUCUUAGUUGGUGGGUUGCCUUGUCAGGUUGAUUCCGGUAACGAACGAGACCUCGGCCUGCUAACUAGCUUCGGGGGGCUUUUGCCCCGCCGACGCUUCUUAGAGGGACUGCUGGCGUUCCAGCCAGCGGAAGCGCGAGGCGAUAACAGGUCUGUGAUGCCCUUAGAUGUUCUGGGCCGCACGCGCGCUACACUGGCGCGGGCAACGAGCUUUCCGUCCCGCCGAGAGGCGCGACGACUCUCCCAACCCGCGCCGUGACGGGGAUAGAUCCUUGGAAUUUUUGAUCUUCAACGAGGAAUGCCUAGUAGGCGCAAGUCAUCAGCUUGCGUCGAUUACGUCCCUGCCCUUUGUACACACCGCCCGUCG